rnacentral:tRNA from 1 species
CAAAACGUAGCUAAAUACAAAAGCACUCAGCUUACACCUGAGAGAUACCUGCCCCCAACCCAGGUCGUUUUGA